rnacentral:lncRNA from 1 species
UUUUUGAUACUGGGAAACCAGACAGAUGUCUGGUGAGCAAACAUUGCCACUUAGUAACUAAAAAGCAUAUAUUUGCUAUAUGAGAUAUUCUGGUUGAAUUUUCAUUUGCAUCUUAUGAGUUGGGUUAUAGUCCAGAAAGUCCUUUGAGUUACAUCAAACCUUGUCUACUAACAAGAAAGAAUUUAUGGAGCUAAAAGGCUGGCAAUGCCAGCCAAAGCCUGGGCCCAUUCACAGGGUAAUGCCACUCAGGAGAGCCUCUGGUGGGUUCUCUUCUGGGGAUAGCUUCAUUUUGUCAUUAUGCCCUUACUCUAUGUUAGCAAAAACAACCAUCUUCCACUCCCCUGUUCUAGAUUUUAGAUCUCUCUCUUCUAAUGCCAGGAAAUACAGCCUCAGCAACUUUAAUCAGCUAAGACCAUCGAUGAGCAAUCUUGCUUUCUCAAGCCCCAUGCCCUAGAGAAGUCAUAAAUCAGGCUGCUGUGGUAUGGGUAAAUUGAAUAUUAUGUGGUACAGCUCUUUGAACUCGUAGAAAGGAAAGUGCUCAAUAAAUGCAUGUUAUUAUUAUUAUUGCAUCUGGCUGUAGACACUAGGACAUCAGAGACCUCUCAUUUUUUAAAAUGUUUUCUUUCUUUUCUUUCUUCUUUCUUUUCCCCAGUGGUUAUAAUGAAACUUAUCUGCUUACAGGUAUUACCCUGGUAGUUUAUCUUGCCUUUGAUGUUGAGUAACUUCAAAAACCAAUGGCCAUUGGACCCGCCACUUCUCAGACAUUAUCAAGAAGACAUAUGUUUUAUUCUUAAUUGGGUGGUAUGGAUUAUUUUUCUUUUCAGUAUUACUGGAAAGAGGUAUGAGUGGAUUUUCCAGAAUGGUGUAAUAAAAAUAAAAUUUGAUUGAUUAAUUCAAUAACUAUGGCUAGGAAGCAUCUUGUAUAGCAGUGGAGAGGAAAUGUACAAUGCCCUACAGAUAGAGUCUGCAUAACUCACAUUUGUUUGAUAGACUCCUGAGCUAGAUGCUGGCUUCUUGGAGAAUAGCUCACUCUUGGAAAUUCAAGUCAGGUUGAAUAGCUUAGUUUCCUUAGAAGCUUCAUCUAGUGAGUUAUAACCUCAGGACAUUAGGGUAUAUAUUUGUAAAGCUCUUUAGCACACCACUCUUCAUUUCUGCCAUGAUCCUAUUGACAGAAGCACUUAGCACCUACCUGUGGGCGGACUUCAGUAGUCCCGACCUCAAAGAGAGGCCUACUGAAGGGAUCACUGGUUCAUUUUGCAUGUUAGGAAUUUAAAUCAGGUACCAAGAAACUCAUGAUUUUGUAUACAAAGUUUUUGUGGACACAUUUUUCUGUGGAAAGUGUUAUACUAGUUUCUCUAAGAUGUGUAUGAGUCCCCAAAGGAAAAGAACCACUUCUGUAGAGUACAUAUUCAUGGACAGGUAGCACUAGAAGAUAUAUGACAUUUUUAGUAUAUAUUUAUGAGCCUAACAUGACCAUUUGACCUGAAAUGCCAUUUUUUCCUCUAAGAACAUUACCUAAAACUUUGAUUGGAUUUGCAAAAGAUAUUAAAUUCUGAUUUAAAGGGGGAUCUGUAUAAAUAAAUCAGAGAUGGUGUAGACUCUGAUAUAUCCUUCAGGGCUCAUUUCAAAUGUAAUUUCUUCAAAGCCAAUUUCACUUCACACAUGUGUGAUAUACAUAUAUUUAUUUUAAAUAUUUGUUUUUAUGAUUAACUUGGAACUCUUUGAAGGCAGACAGUCUUUUUUAGGAUUACUCUUCUGGACCAUAGUGUCAGAUGCCAAAAAUGUGUAUAGAUCGAGUUAGCAGAAAAGGCUCCCAUAUAAUGGGAGCUAUAUCAGCAAGGAUCCUAGGAGGUCAGUAAGGAGUUCUAGGUUAAUUAUGCAGGUAUAUAUUGUGAAUGACAGCUACCCUGCUACUUUUAGUAAAACUGGGAGAUUUACUAUUUGUAAAUGGUUGGCCUCAGGAAUGACUGGAUACAGGACUCAAACUCUUCUCAUUAUUUUCUCAGCUUCUCUUUCUCCAUUGGCUCAACGUUUUCCCACUAUAGAAGAUUUUUCUCUCUGCCAGUCUUCGAUAGAGCUUACCUCCUUAAUUAUUGUUUCAUAUUCUUUAUUUCUUCUAAAUGGGCAACAACGUUUUCAGUUUAGGCAGACUAAGUCUACUUUCUUUCAUAUUACAAAAGAAACCAAGUCAGAGGGGUCAACUAAUCUGAAUAAUGUCACACAGCUAGAAAGCAGUGGAGCAAGGAAUGAAAUCCUUCAUAAUGUGUCAGUGGACAUGGGAAAGCCUGAGAGACAACAUUGCUAACAUCCUUUUUGAAUAUUGUGGCUUUCACUAUCUGAGUGAUAGUAAACAAGUUACCAUGGCUUUCUGAUAAGCAGAGGGCAGAAUAAUAUCAACUCCUUGGAGUUGGUUGAUAUAUAUAUGCAACAUAUAGAGAUUUCCUGGUACAUAGUAGAUUGUUAAAAAGUCUUGACAAAGUCAAGUAUAGAACCUAUCUAGCAAGUGUACAAACCAUGAUUAUGAAAUGAACUUCAUGGAAAAUUCUUCCCCUAGUUUCUUAUUUGUCAACAUUUUUUCUUCUAACAUUUGCAUCUACUUUUUUGUUAUUGUACUUUAUUGUAUUAUAUUUGCCAUGCUGUUCCGAAUACAAAUACACGUACUAGGAAAGGCCUUUGUAUUCUUUAUUUAUCCAAAAAUAUUUAUUGAGCACCUACUAUAGUAGGUGCCAGACCCCGGAGGACACAAGAGUAAAUAAGACAGAUAAAAUCUCUGCUUGUGUGAAAUUUAUAUUUUAUAGGAGGAACACACUACAAACCGGAAAAUCAAUAAAACGUAUAGUAAAAUUUUGGGUUAAAAAGAUAUGGAUGCUGAAAAAAAAGAAAACAGCAAAAGGACAGAGAAGGAGGAAAAGGUAAGAUUUUGGGUAUUGGGGUCAUCAGAGUAAUUGUUUCUAAGAAGCUUUGGUUUGAUUUGUGUCCACUGCUGAGUGCCCUAGAAAGCCAUCGGCAAAGAAGGACUGAGCAAAGAAGGGACUUGGAUGAUUUUCUUGGUGAUGGACACAGUGCGGGGCAACAGUGAUAAUGGAGACACCAAUCCGGGAGCUAUUGUGAUUGAAAGAUGAUGAUGGUUUAAACAAGAAGUCCUGGAAGUGGCAGGAAUUAAUCAGAUUUGGAAAAUACUUUGUAGGCAUUAGCUGACAAGAUUUGAUGAUGGAAAGGAAGACAGUGUAUACUUUUGUUUUUAAGUUUUAAAUGAAUGAAAAUAAGACAUUUCAAAAUCUGUUUUCUAAUAAUAGCUAACACUUAAAAGCACUAUAUGCCAUGCCUCUGUACUAAGUGCUUUAUACUCUUUAUGUCGGUUAAUUAUCUGUCCCCAUCACAAAAUAUUCUUAUUUUAUUCAUUUUUUAAAAAAUUCAGACUCUGUCAAUGUAGAUACUGACCUUCUCAGCUUGGCAAACCCACCCACCCCAAUUUCCUGCCUUGGGCUCAAUACUCAAAACCAUUGAUAGUCCAAAUUUUAAAAGCUUUAAUCCCUUGAGUUUCUCAGAGGAGGACUUCCUUACACAUUUGCCUACUGG